rnacentral:rRNA from 1 species
AACGUAGGUACCGAGCGUUAUCCGGAUUUACUGGGCGUAAAGCGUGUUCAGGCGGUCUAGCAAGUCGGGCAUGAAAUCUCUCGGCUCAACCGGGAGGGGUUGUCCGAUACUGCUGGGCUUGAGGGCAGCAGAGGGUGGUGGAAUUCCGGGUGUAGUGGUGAAAUGCGUAGAUAUCCGGAGGAACACCAGUGGCGAAGGCGGCCACCUGGGCUGUACCUGACGCUCAAACACGAAAGCUAGGGGAGCGAACGGG